rnacentral:lncRNA from 1 species
GAGUGACCAACAGCAGCACAGAAAUCUCACACAUGGCUAGCUGUGGCAUGGCAUCAGCUGCCUCAGGCUUUGUGGUAGCACCAAACGUUGCAACCACCAACUCAGGCUCAGCUUCCAGCCGGAGUAGCAUGCUGUUUUUCCCUUCAAAACCCAACACCAACACCAGAAGCAAUGCCAGGUUUGUGAUCAGGGCAGCUGAAGAAGCCGCUGCGCCUCCGGCCGCCACCACGACUGCACCAGAGGGGGCAGCUACCCCUAAGCCUAAGCCACCACCAAUUGGACCCAAGAGAGGCACUAAGGUUAGUUCAUGUGAAAAAAUAAUAGAAAUAAAUCAGUGUUAUUUUUCAAGUAUUGUUGUGAGUAAAUUGUCAAUAGUUUUGUAGAAUUGCUGAAUAGAAAAAUCAAAACCAAAUUACCUAGAAAAAAAAGUAGGGAUUUAAAAAACACUAAUUGUGAAUUUGAAAGGCUUGUAGCUGAAAUCAUUAAAGGUGUGAUCCUCGCACUUGAGAUCCUUUGUUUAAAUUGUCACUCCUCCAAUAUUACAUUAAACAAAAUAUUUCGCUAAAAACCUCUCCCAGACCCUGCGUAAAGCGGGAGUCUUGUGCACUGGGUACGACCUUAUAUCGCUAAAAACUUGUAAAUGUUGAGAGUUAUCCCACAUAUGUGAGAGACAAAGUUUGCUAUGUACUUAUAUGAUCUUGAACUACUCCUUAUAUUGCCAGUUAGUUUUAUGGUGAAACUUCAAUUUCAUCGUAGUAUUAGAGCGGGUUGUCUUUGUGUGAAGCCAAAUGACCACACACUCUCCACGUCACCCAGUUGUUGUUCACGUGUAGGCUUGAAAAUACGCCAGUCCGAGGUACAAGUGUUCGUUAGUCUAAUUUGAUAGAAAUAGUGCAACUCAGGUCGAGCCACAGGAGACCUUAUUAUAUGUUCUUGAGUAUGAAUUUUUCACAAAUGGUUUUGUGUUUAGUUUUAAUAUUUGCAGAAAUAUCUUAGGACCCCAAUUUAAUACACAACAAAUUGGCUCAUUUAUUAAUCUGCUAUUAGAACAAGAAGAAUUGAAUUGAAGAGGAAUAUUAAAACGUUGAUCAGUUUGACUAUUUCACUUGGCUCCAUAUUGUUUUUUCUUCCCUUCUGAAUCAUAACUCUAUACUUUCUUUCACAGGUGAAGAUUCUUAGGAGGGAAUCCUACUGGUUCAAAGGCAUUGGAUCUGUUGUGGCUGUGGAUCAGGUCUGACGGCUCUCUCUCUCUCAAUAAAAAUGAACUUGAUAAAGAAAAUGGAGUACUUAAAUGUGGAUAUCUGUUUUGCAGGAUCCGAAUACCCGUUACCCUGUCGUGGUCCGAUUCAACAAAGUUAACUAUGCCAAUGUGUCCACAAAUAACUAUGCUUUGGACGAGAUUGAAGAAGUUAAAUGAGUUUGUAGUAGCACUGUAAAUUGUAAUCUUAAUUAAAUUGUCCUUCUCUCAGUUUCUUCCUUACUUGUUGGUGCCCUUUAUUUGUGUAUCAUACUCUAAAUUUCUUCUUCCACCUUUUCUUAGUUAUUUUCAAUCACUGCUUCCUCAAAACACGAAUAGAUCGUUAUAAACUCAUAGUAUAUACCGUAUUUAUACACCGGAUUCAUAUGCCGGUUUCAUGCAUCUAUACGCUGUAAAUUAUCCUAUACUGGUUUCAUACACCGGAGCCGUACACUGCUUCUCUCUUUGUCACUGUAUCUUUAUCUUACGAUAUGGAGGGAAACAUUAAUAGGUGUUGGUUACAUCCCGGAGUUGGGCACCAUAUUUCUAAUUUUUUGUUUUAACUUAUUUGUAUUUUAGUUUGUUGUGCAAAUUUCAUCCCGAUGUUAAAUGGUGAGGGGAAAUGCAUGAAAGGAAAAGCAUAACGUGCCUUGCAUUGAUCCCAAAUAGAAUAUCGUAAAAAAUUGGAAAAAAAAA